rnacentral:rRNA from 1 species
UACGAAGGGGGCUAGCGUUGUUCGGAAUCACUGGGCGUAAAGGGCGCGUAGGCGGCCGAUCAAGUCGGGGGUGAAAGCCUGUGGCUCAACCACAGAAUUGCCUUCGAUACUGUUUGGCUUGAGACCGGAAGAGGUUAGUGGAACUGCGAGUGUAGAGGUGAAAUUCGUAGAUAUUCGCAAGAACACCAGUGGCGAAGGCGGCUCGCUGGACAAGUAUUGACGCUGAGGUGCGAAAGCGUGGGGAGCAAACAGG